rnacentral:rRNA from 1 species
AUGAACUCUUGGUUCCAUCACAACUUGAUAACUGAAGCCUAUAAAGUGACUCAUAAUUUUCUAGGUGGCACACACCCUCCAAGUAUAACAACAAAAUCCAAGUCACUAGGUGGUACUCCUCAAAACAUCUUCCAUCAAAGCUCUUCUAAAGAACUAAUAAAAUUUCUCUCUCACGCACACAAAGGUUAUGAAUGGUCUAAGAAGGGAGGAACACCAGGUAGGAGUUCAAGAAUAAGGGUGGAGCUUGUGCUUCAAAGUAGAGAGGAAGUGUUCAUGGAAUCGCCCAAAACAAUAUUCCUUUAUCUUCUCUUCUUGCUUGCAGCUCUCUUCUUCAAGGCUUAA